AUUUACACUAAGUGACUUUUUUUUCCAAUAUUAAACAUUUAUGCUUGCCCUAUAUUUUUUUUACUUUUUUACUUUGGGGUUUUUUCUUUAAUACUAUUUACAAAGUUUGAUAUUUACAAUUAUACAUUAUACUAUUUUUCCUUCUUCCUCCUAUUCACACAGAUCCACUUCAAAAGGCAACCAUCUCCACCAUUUCCAUCUCACAUCCAACCUUUCUCGAUCGUCUCCCGCUCUCUUGUCCCAGCCCUCGAUGUCAAGCAAAACAUCUACUCAACCUUCUAUGUUGUGGUCUAGGGAGAAAGAGAGACUUUUUUUUUUCAGAUUUAUUUCCCUCUUGAUCAAGCCAUCUCCCUCUUUUUCAAACUUAUUUUUAGUGCUAUUAAUAUUUUUUGAAGCUUCGAUUUUUGAAUGCAAGAAACUUGACUUCCAGUGAUGAUGUACUUAAAUGUUGAUCAGAAUAGGCUUGUCAUCUAUUUCUAUUCCUUUGAUAGAAUGAAGUGAGUUACAUACAUUGAAAGUGUACACGAAAAUAUUUCAAUCUUCCAAGAAGGUUCAAGUUAUUGUGCAUGGAUUUUGUUAUGCAUUGAAGAGUAAUAUUUUUUAAGAAACAUUGCUUUGUUGUUAAUUUUACAUAUAUCUUGCACGUGAUAUUGAACAUUAUAAUUUUAUUUAAGUUGUUUAUAUAUUUUAGUACCGUGAAAAACAAUUAUUAUUGUAUUUUUAAUUUAUACAUUAAGUAUUUAUAUAAUUAUGUUUGUCUUCUUUUUUAGAGAAAAAAGAUAAUAAUUGUUAGUAGUUUUUUUUAGCUAUUAACAAUAUUUAGUUACAAUAUCAAUUGAUGAACAAAUAAUUAUAGGUUUUUCAAUAUUCAACAUCUUCGGGGAUUUGCUUUUGGUUAUUUUCUUGUUGCUUUACGGUUGUUUCUGCUGUCAAAGUCAUAGUAUCAACCAAAAUAACAUCUUUUAAAACAAAUCCCCCCCUUAAACCAGAUAAAAGUUUUUUAAUUGUUGUUGUUGUGUUGUUGUCAGGUUGUUGCACUGUGAGUAUACUGGUGAUUGUCACUUUUUGUUAUUAUCACAUUGUUGCACUCCAUUGUUUGGGUAGCUUCCAAAAAAGAUUGCAUAAAACAACAGACUUUUGUCAUCUUUAAUUUAGAGUGGUUGCCUAAGAAGCAACUAAGAUUUUGAAGUAUGGUAAAUAAAAUAUGUUCAUGUUAAAAUAAUUUUUUUUUGAAACUGAUUCCCUCCUUGGAGCAGAUAAAAGUUAUUUAGUUGUUGUUGUUGUGUUGUUGUCGGGCUGUUGCACAUUUGAGUGUACUGAGUGAUUGUCACUUUUUGUCAUUAUCACAUUGUUGCACACCAUUGUUUGGGUAGUUGCCAAAAAGGAUUGUGUUUCUGUGUUGUUGAAUGUGUUCACACACAACGAAUACUGUGUGAAAUCAGUUUCAUUGGUUAAUAACUUUAUGUAAAACAACAGACUUUUGUCAUCCUUGAUUUGGAGUGGUUGGCAGCCUUCCUUCAGUUGGUAUUUCAGUUGUAUUUGAGUUGUUUUAUGGUUUAAUUUUAGUUUCUCCAUCAUUAUAUGCACUAGUUUAGCAAAAGUGCAAUCUCUUGAUAUUAAUUCUCCACUUAAUUCGUAAUCAACAUAGUGGUUGUUGUCAUCCCAAUGAUCAUUGCUCUGUACUAAAAUUUACAAAGGUUUCAUGCCUGAAACUAGUGUAUUAAUUUUUCUAUAUUGUUAAGCAACCAGUUUAAUACAUGAGAACAACUUAUAAACAACUAUUAUAUGACAGUAAUCAGUAAAUGACCUUAAAUGAAUCACUAUUUUUUUUCAAAUUUAAAUUAUUGCCACCAAUUUAUUCAGAUAAACUAAUUUUCAGUAUGAAUUUGCUUUGAAAUAGUUCAGAAAUACUAAAUUACAACCUGAUUACGAAAAAAAUAUUUAAAAUAUUGGUACCUUGUAUGUUUAUUUGUCAAAUUCUUCCGAGUUGUUUUUAAUUUUUCGUUGAAAAUUUAAGAAAAGUUGAUCAUACUAUUAAAAUUAAUUAUUUCUUUAUUUCAUUAUUUAUUGUUCUAAAUAAUAAAGUUAUAUUCGUCAUUAUUUUAUUAUUGUUAUUGUGUUAUUUAUACAUUUGUUAUUUCACAAUCAUAGACAACAACAAAAAGAAAACAUAAAAACAACGCUAAAACAACAUAAUUUUAUUUUGAAAUUUUAACACAAACUCAAUAUUCUCAUUAUACUACCUAAAAAAAUCAAUUUACAUGGUUUUCAUUCUAGAUUUUCAAAAAACACCGAAAAACAAUAACAAUAUAUUAACAAAAACAACUAAUAUAUGUGAAUCAACUCAAUAACGUUAAUAAUAAUAGAUUAGAAAACAAUUAAAGUAAACACAAUUAAUAAUAUCAGAUUUAUUAUUUUUCUAAAAAGAAAAAAUAGAAAAAAGAAAGUAAAGAAAGUAAAGAAAAACCCAAUCUUUUUGGGUAAAUGUUCAUGGGCAUCUCCUCUCAGUUGUUGAUCUUAUUUCGUUGGCUUCUCAUAGAGAUCUCUGAUCGUUGGUCGCGCUGCCAUAACUGAAUAUCGAAUCAAAAUUUCUUACCGGCGUUAAUGGUGAUCGACAAAAAGCUUUCCGCCGGCGUUCAUGGUGUUCGACAAAAACUUCUACAUCUUUAGUGGUGUUGUUUGGAGAAUACGUCGAUUAUGGAGGAGAUCUAGGAUUUUUUGGAGGUGAUUCAUGUUCAUGUUGAUUUCAGAUCUAAAACUUUUGGGAGAAACUAUUUUGGAAAAGUCUCAUGUAGAGACCGUA